GACGUAGGGCGCGAGCGUUGUCCGGAUUUAUUGGGCGUAAAGAGCGUGUAGGCGGCCAGAUAGGUCUGUUGUGAAAACUCGAGGCUCAACCUCGAGACGCCGAUGGAAACCAUUUGGCUAGAGUCCGGAAGAGGAGAGUGGAAUUCCUGGUGUAGCGGUGAAAUGCGCAGAUAUCAGGAAGAACACCCGUGGCUAAGGCGGCUCUCUAGUACGGUACUGACGCUGAGACGCGAAAGCGUGGGGAGCGAACAGG
rnacentral:rRNA from 1 species